rnacentral:lncRNA from 1 species
GGAUGAGAGGACUCCACCUGAAGAAUUGUCUUGAUCGACUGACAUAUGGCAAAAUCCAUGGUAGAUUGUAUUGAUAAAUGUGGGAGGGAUCAGCCUACUAUGUGUGAUGCCAUUUCUAAACAUGAGAUCUGAGCUGUAUAAGAAAGUAGCUCAGCAUGAACUAAAGACCAGGGAACUGCAAAUGAAAUGCAAACCCGUGUCCUGAAGCAUUGCCUUGUCCAGGAUAGACCAAUAUUUUGUUCUAUGUAGACCUUCAGUCUCUGUCACAUCAAGGCUUGAACUAAAAUAUGCAUUAAUAUUGAUCUAUCAUUAAUACCAAAAAGGACCUUCUGACCCCUGCCUACGGCUUGGUGAAAACGAAGGAGAGCGCACUAUUUCUGCUUGUUUAACAGAUCAAAGCUAAAGGCUGUCAUAGGAAACAUGCUAUACUGGUGAGGAGGCUGAUAAACAAUUCAUAAGUGACUCUAUUAUGAUUCUGGUAGCAAAGCCAAGAUGUCAGGAAAGAGAUGAGCUCUCAAAAGCAGAAAGCUGAAAGGAUGGCGAUGUCCCACAGAGCAAGAAUCUUUAUCUUCUGCCAACUUACCAGUUUCCCUGGACCAUUUCUGAGCAACUAAUUCUGGAACUGCACUGAGAUGGCACUGUGUGCUCUACACAUGAUACCCACUACCCAUACUGAAACAGAAAUUAAUCAUCCUUUGAGCAUUCCAUGAUUUUGAAAUCAAGCUUAUUCAAAAGAACUUCUCUAAAGCUCCCUGCUUUUUUAGAGUGGGACUAAGGCCCACAAUCUACAGCCACUUUCACAAAAAAAAAAAAAAAAAACCAAAAAAAAAAAACAAAAAAAACCAAAAAAAAACAAAAAAACAAGAAAAGAAAUAUUAAUGAAACAGGUUCAGAGGUGGCCUUUUAGUUUUGGAUUUUAUUUGGACCACUUAAAGAAGUAUGGGUAUGUCCUGCUUGUUGGAGAAGAAGAGAUUCAAAGACAUCUCUGCCACUGAAAUGCACCUAGUAUAGAUGAUGGCUUAUGAAGCUGGAACUUUGAGUGUAUACACAAUGUCAGGCAGCUCAACAGGUUGUGGUGUCUUCCUGGCAGGGAAGCUGCACCCUGAAGAUUUCUACCAGAAACUGUCUUGUUCCUGGCUGCACUGGCUGAGUGUAUGCAUAUUCGAAGGUUGAACUGAGCAGAACAGGGCUUUACCUUAUAAAUAUUUAGUUCCUUCGGUCCAUAUUGCUUUCUCAGUGGAUACUUACAACUAUAAAUUUAUGGCACUAAGGUACAGAAAUGUGGUAAGACUCUCUCUCUCUCUCUCUCUCUCUCUCUCUCUCUCUCUCUCUCUCUCUCUCUCUGUGUGUGUGUGUGUGUGUGUGUGUAUUGAUAUUAAGCAACACUGCUUUCGAGCAGCCUUUAGUACUGGAAGAUGCUAAAGCAUCAGCAAUGGGGAAUUUCUACUUUCUAGCCACAUCUAUCAAAGCUGAGACCCGAAAUAGCCCUGGGACUCCCAUGGUCCGUCACAGGGUCUGAGGUCCUCUCAGAAGCAGCUCUUCCGCUGGUGGAUGCCAUUAGUUUGCUUGUGAUCUACCACCUUAUCUUCAAACAGAAGACUCCAAAUGUUUAUGCCUUCUGCAAUUUUUUUCCCCUGACUUUUAUGUCAGUUGUGCCCUGGUAUGUAAUUCUGUGCCUUUGCCACAUUUUGACCCAGUCCAUGCAUAAGGUUUGCCCUCAGUUUAUCCAAUACCAUCGGAUUCAGUGGCCUUCUGUCAUCUGUUCUCCACACAAUCGCCUGGCCUCAGCACUGUGUGGCUGGCUGCCCUCCAGAUCCUCAUCCUGGAAGCAGCUGUCCUCACAAGGAGAGAGGAGCUUGGUUCAUCUGUAAAUAUUUUCAAGGAGCGGGACUCAAUGUCACAAAGAGGUCAAGGCUUCAGUCAUGUGGGAAGAGUGACAUGAUAGCAUAUGAGAAACGAUUAAACUUAGCAGGCAGUACUGUGCCUCUAAAGUGACAGAGACCUAAAGCGAACCAGUGUAUAUUAGAAGCCUUGCCUUACUGUCUUUCUAGCUAGGCUCUCCAAAUUCAACCUUAAGAUACUCGUGAUGUUGCCUGGAGCAUUUCAGUGAGCUCUUUGUAAAGCUUGGUUCUUCAGACCUCUCUUAAGUACUUUACAUAUACAAGGUUAGGAUGUACCCCUGAAGUAAAGAGAGUAUCAAAUAUUAGCAGAUACAGGCUCAGGGAGUUUGCCUUCUAUUUAGACAAUUUUGGUGAAUUCUAGUCUCCACACAGACUGGAAUAUUAAACAUGUCAUGAUGAAGUCGGAAGAAAUGGGCACCAAAGGAAAGGAUGGAUUAUUGUCACUGGGAGGAUUCAGUGUUAUGCAAGAAGUGGGUGUUGACAUGAAAUGUGGAUGAGUUCUUUUACCCUCUUGUAUGCUAGUGUCUGAGAUGUACAUUUCUUAGGAAGAACACAAUGUAAUGAAAAAUGAGGUGUGUUAUUUGAAGGUGAGUUAAUAUGGAGCAUCAUUGCUAGCAGUCAGAGCUGACUAGAGAAGAGCUCAUUCUGAAUGAAACGUAGAAAAGAGUUUGAUAGGCUAUGUGAGACCAUUUUGGAUGUCUAUCAAAGUUCACAUCAAUGAGAAACAUGCCCUGUGGAGAAGAGGGUCCCAAGGUCUAGGUUAGGAGUAAUAAACUACUCUUCUAACACUGCUGGAAGAAGAUGGAUGGACCACAAAGGCUCUGAGGACACACUACUUGAAUUCAAAUUUCAGCCUCUAGUUUUCUGUGUGUGCCGUUACGUUACAUGAAUCAUUUACUCUCUGUACCCACAGUGUGCUCAUGUGUAAAAAGAGGAUUAAAGUUGACCAAGUCUUCUUAAACUUUCAACUUGGACACUCAGCAUGCAAAGUAUAUAAACAAAUCAAAUGUUAUUAAUAAUAAAAGAUGACUUUAUUUUA